rnacentral:lncRNA from 1 species
UCUUCGAAAACACGACUACUGAUGCAACACCAGAUGCAGUUUGGUCGGAAAAAUUCAAAGAAUUGGAGGUAUUUACAAUAUAUUUCAAUAAUUUUGUUGAUUAUCGAACUCAUUUUUGUUUUCAUUUUCAGAACAAGUGUAACGAGAGUCAAAAAGACGUCUCCAAAUACAAGAAGAAGUUCAAUGCUAUGAAAUCAUAUAUGAAGAAACUGAAUAAGACUUUGAAGACUUCUGGACUCGACAUGACAUGACGCAGAUGGCUUCUACUUCAAAGUCCACUAUACCGUCUGCAUUCGGAUCAGAUAUUUCAGAUUCUGAUUCAGAAGACUCGCUUUC